ensembl:lncRNA
CGCCCUUCGGCGCGGGGGGGUCGGGGCCGGAGGGCCUCGAGCAAAAGCACGCGCACAGGUAGCGCGGGAGCGUGCUUUGCGGGAGCCGAAGGGACGCCCCGGGGCAUCUGCGAGCGUGGGGCUGUCCGGUGACUCUCUUUUGAACCUCGUUCUGCGCGCCCUGCGCUCGCUUUCCCCCUCCAACCUGUCCCGGCUGUCCGGGGAUGGGCUGCCGGAGCGUUUCUCCGUGCCGCGUAGCGCCGCGACCGUCCCGCUGCCGGCCGAGCUCCGGGCUCUGCUGCUGCUGCUGGCUGCGCUCGGUGCGCGCUCCCUGGGUGUCACCUCCGAGCGAUCCCGGACCGAGAGAAAGCUCCUACGAGAGCAAAGUUGGGCGCUUCCCUCAGAGCGUCGCGAACCUCAGCGCAAGCCGAGGUGCUCCCCGAGCAGGGUAUUCCCUCCUGCCGAGCGGCCAGCGCUAUGGAAAGAACCGAGGGGAAGCGGGAGGAAUCUCCGCGCGCUUCCCCGAAGCCACACGGGCGCAUCCCGGUGGCAGCGCGGGGCUGAGCUCCUCAGCCCCGUGUGUUUGGAAGCGUAACGCGAUACAUCGCCUCCCUUGAUCUCAUUCUGCCUUCCUCCUUAGCCGUACCUCACUGUACUUAAGAGGACGGUUUUGCUACCAGCCCUCUCCCCCCAUCCCCACGUUUUCAUCUCUUCCUCCUGCUUGCUCUCCUGUCGACAGCUCCAUACCUUUCCAUUAUUUCCUCACACGCAUCACACCAGUCGAUCUCUGGCCAUUCCUGGCACCGCUCUCUGCCUUUGGCCACCACCCAGGUGUCCACACAGUGUUGGCAUCCAUCCCAUCCCGUACUACUGCCAUGUCCCGGCCCCGGGUGGCCUCUGUCAUCCCACUGCCACCUCGGCCUGCCCUGACUUUCCACCAGCCAUUGCUCAUCUCUGGAGAUGGAGUCACCUCCAACCUGUCUGGUACCAGGACCUGCAUACCUGGCAUCGUGGUCACGCAUGCUCACACUAGAUUCCAUCACAUACGAAGUAUAAGCAGUACCUGUUGGACUUGGCUAGGGUUUUUGCUGUGGACUUCCCCAUCACCAGUUUGUGCUUCUCUCUUGCCAUGGGCAUGGCCAAAGACUUCAGUGCUCACCUGUGUUGUAUACUGUUUAACGCUCUUUGCCCUGGCACAUCCUUUAGCCGCAUAACGACACUGAUAUGCUUUGUUGUCGCCAGUAUUUCCACCCCAGCGGACCACCUUUCAGCUUGGCAUUAUGGGGAGCCCUCCAAGAGAGGUGUGCGAAGGGACAGGCACUGCACAGCUGCACUGGUGCAUCUGUCAGCCAACCAGCCGGUCAACCAUUCAGGCACCUCAAUGCUGCACUAGGGAGUUCCUGUCCUCCAAAAUAUACCUCUUCUUUCCCAAAAUUCUGAUACCUCGGCCUGACAAGCACUUCAUAUAUGAAUCCUUAACACCACAGCCUGCUGUUAGGAAUGUGCACGCUGCACCCAGUGCUGGAGCGAGACCAGAAGGGUAGAGCUCAGGUGUUUUGGAACCAUCCCACAGGCAGCCCCUGGCGGCCUUCCAGCAUGCUCUUCCUUUAAGCGUGCUCACUGUGCCUCUGGAGAAGACUGCUGAUCCAUCAGUUAAUCGUAUUGACUUCCAGCUGUGGGAGUGACCAGCACCCUCCAUGCUGGACUGUAGUUCAGAUGAGCUUGGUGGAGCUGAGGGUACAUGGGCAGCUCCCAAAACAGCUGAAACAAACGGCCAAGUUACCUUUGCUCCACUGGUCAAGGGAAUACGUUCUGCCUUUGGUUCAUCAGCUCUGCUCCAUAAAGGUCUGGCUGGAAUUUCAGCUACUCCUAGAUGUUUGGAUAACAGGAGUGGACAACAGCAUUUUUUUCCAAAAUGUGCUAAGAUCUCAUUUCUGCAAUGCACUAAAUGUAAUGGGAUGAAAGGC